ACAAUUAGGAGAAUGAAAACGGGAAACUGAGUCCCUGAGAAGCUCAAGGAUGGUGGGCAUGGAUAUCCCUGCCUAAAGUUAUUGAACCAACUGCACUCCUGAAUCUUCAACUCACAAGGGAUUGUAAUUCUUUUCAGAGCUCCUGUGUAGACUGAGAGGACUCAAUUACUGGAAUUGUCCACUCCUUCACCUGUUUUUCCCAUCCACUAUAAGCAGACCGACUCUGAUACCCACCUGUGUGGCUUUCUGUAGCAUUCUCUUCCUCACCUUGGCUACAGGAUGUCAAGCUUUCCCAAAGGUGGAAACAGCACAAGAAUAUGCAGAGAAAGAGCAGUCCCAGAAGAUGAACACAGAUGACCAAGAAAACAUCUCCUUUGCUCCAAAGUACAUGCUGCAGCAGAUGUCCUCUGAAGCUCCAAUGGUACUAUCUGAAGGACCUUCAGUGAUACCAUUAAUUAAAGUAUUCUCAGUCAACAAAAAGAGUCACCUUCCAGGAGCCAGGCUUCUGCAUCCUACCAGCCCUGGUGUUUACUCUUUCAGUGAGCCUGUGGUCUCAGCCAGUGAACAAGAGCAUGGCCCCAGCCAGCUUGAAAGAAUGUCUUCUGAGCACAGCCUUUCCAAGGCCAUGCUAACUGUUGCUGUAUCUUCACCUACUUCUCUGAAUCCUGACCAGGAGGGACCCUAUAACAGUUUGAGUACCCAGCCUAUUGUAGAAGCAGUCACAGAUGUAACAUGUAGUUCCCUGGAGUAUUUAGAUGACCAGUUGUUUACAACUAAAAGUCAGGAAGCAGUUAGCUUAGGAAAUUCACCUUCUUCCUCUAUAAAUACCAAAGAACCUGAGAUAAUCAAAGCAGAUGCAACCACGGGAACAACUGUCUUUCCUGGUGCUGAUUCUACAAGAGACACAGAGCCUGAUAGGGAGAGGCCUUCAGAGAUGGCAGCUGAUGAUGUCCAGAGCACUACCACCAAGCAUUUGAAGACAGUCCCCAAUAAUGUCCUGACUACUGAGCCAACAGCCAGCAGUAUUUUGGGAGACACUAAGGUCACAGUGAGUGUCAGCACAGCUGGCCCAGUCUCUUCUACCUUCAGUGAGGAGUGGGAUGACACCAAAUUUGAGAGCAUAAGUCAGGGGAGGCCCCCAGAGCCAGGAGACAAUGCAGGGACUCAAGUGAGCACAAAGCCACCACAUGGAACCUAUGAGAGUUUUGAGGGGACUGAGGAGAUCCCCCCUUCCACAGCAGUUUUAAAGGUGGCUCCAGGGCUCCUGGAAGGAGAACCAGCCUUGGGAACAGCCCUGGUGACUGCACUGGGGGAUGAGAGGUCACCAAUCUUGACCCAUCAGAUUUCCUUCACUCCCAUGAGUCUGGCAGAAGACCUUGAAAUUUCCACCAUGAAGCUGUUUCCAAGUGUAGGAGGCUUCAGAGCUUCCCACCCAGGGGAACAGGACCCAGCUCUCCUCAGAGACUGCACUUUCUACCUCUCAAUAUGAGUCUGUGCCACAGCAGGAAUCAGGCAAUGUGUUAAAAUGUAUGAGAAGACAGUAAAAAAUUCAAACAACCGUAAAUAAAGCAUAUGCAAAGUUCGAUUGAUUUGGAAA